rnacentral:rRNA from 1 species
AGAGUUUGAUCCUGGCUCAGAAUGAACGCUGGCGGCGUGCUUAACACAUGCAAAGUCGAACGAGAAAAGUUUCCUUCGGGGAAGCGAGUAGAGUGGCGCACGGGUGAGUAACACGUGGGUAAUCUACCCCUCAAUUUGGGAUAACAUUGCGAAAGYGAUGCUAAUACCGAAUAACAUCCAUAAUACUUUGGUAUAGUGGACCAAAGGUGGCCAAUCCUUGGAAGCUACUGUUGGGGGAUGAGCCUGCGUACCAUUAGCUAGUUGGUAGGGUAAUGGCCUACCAAGGCGACGAUGGUUAGCUGGUCUGAGAGGAUGAUCAGCCACACUGGAACUGGAACACGGACCAGACUCCUACGGGAGGCAGCAGUGAGGAAUAUUGCGCAAUGGGGGCAACCCUGACGCAGCGACGCCGCGUGGAUGAUGAAGGCCCUUGGGUCGUAAAAUCCUGUCAGAUGGAAAGAAAUGUACAGGUGUUAAUAUCGCCUGUAUUUGACGGUACCAUCAAAGGAAGCACCGGCUAACUCCGUGCCAGCCGCCGCGGUAAUA